AAAGUCGUAACAAGGUCUCCGUAGGUGAACCUGCGGAGGGAUCAUUAACACGUAUAAUCCACGUAAACACCCGCGAACUUGUAUUGUUCCGCGUUUGGGAUCCAGAUCGAGGGGUAGUGGGCUUCGGCGACGCCUUCGGGCGUGCCUGCUACUCCGGCUCUUAGACAUUGCUCGAGCUUCUCACGAGGCACGAGAACGUAUGGCUAAGAGGAAGGAUUCUGAGCGUGCCAGACGCCGUGCUGUCGUACCAAACUUUUUUAACCCAUUGUAAACUAUUUUGUCUAAUUUACUUUUUUUUCCAAACGGAAAAGAAAAACCAAAAAACUAAACGUACAACUCUUAGCAACGGAUAUCUUGGUUCUC
rnacentral:misc_RNA from 1 species